GCCUUGUGUAAUCUAACCUUUAUUCUCUGAUAGGUGUUGUUGUCCAUGGUCUAAUGCUUGUAGGGUAAGGACUGCACAAGAAGAGGACACUGUAGCCAUUGUUGGUAUAAAGAAUGAGAACAAAGAUGAUACAAGUGAUGAGGCUGAAGAUGAUGAAAAUGAGUCACUGAUAAAAGAUAUAGACAUCCUUGAGUCUAGUGUGUCAGCUAAAUUUGACAAAUAUAUCAUGAAACAAUCUUUUUAUGACAGCAUUAUAAGAUUUACAUACAUUCCAGUAUAUUUUAUGUCUAUUUUAAAAUAAUAUCAUUAUAUCUAUUAUA